GUGGACGUGCAUUAUAGUUAUACUGUUAACUAUCCAGACUUUUUCAUGUAAACCAAGUUACAGAGAUUACAUUCCAAAUGGGAACCUUGUUCCCAAUCCAUGUGUAUCACCAGGGAUAUGGAAUGCAGUUGGCCAUUACAACCCAUUUCAUCAUACACUUAUCAAAAAUAAGUUUGGCCGGGAUUUUACGAGAGCGUCAAAUUAUUGGAGCUUAAGGCUUUGUCGUAUGGAUUCAGAUCGAGACAAUAGAACAAAUGGAGAGGAACUAGGCGAUCCCAAUUGUGAAUGGUUUGAAGGACAAGUUCCAUCUGGUUUACCUAUAGGCCAUCCUGGUCUUUGUGAACCAAUUGGGAGCCCCCAUUGCCUAAGAGAGCAAGGUUUUACCUGUAGUGACUUGGAGAACAGCCCUCAUCUUAAACCCUAAACUUAUGUUCGUUACUACAAUGUUA